rnacentral:rRNA from 1 species
UACAGAGGUCCCAAGCGUUGUUCGGAUUCAUUGGGCGUAAAGGGUGCGUAGGCGGCCCGGUAAGUCGGGUGUGAAAUCUCGGGGCUUAACUCCGAAACUGCAUUCGAUACUGCCGUGCUUGAGGACUGGAGAGGAGACUGGAAUUUACGGUGUAGCGGUGAAAUGCGUAGAUAUCGUAAGGAAGACCAGUGGCGAAGGCGGGUCUCUGGACAGUUCCUGACGCUGAGGCACGAAGGCCAGGGGAGCAAACGGG